AGAGUUUGAUCCUGGCUCAGAUUGAACGCUGGCGGCAUGCCUUACACAUGCAAGUCGAACGGCAGCGCGGGGCAACCUGGCGGCGAGUGGCGAACGGGUGAGUAAUAUAUCGGAACGUGCCCUGGAGUGGGGGAUAACGCAGCGAAAGUUGCGCUAAUACCGCAUACGAUCUAAGGAUGAAAGCAGGGGACCGCAAGGCCUUGUGCUCCUGGAGCGGCCGAUAUCUGAUUAGCUAGUUGGUGGGGUAAAGGCCUACCAAGGCAUCGAUCAGUAGCUGGUCUGAGAGGACGACCAGCCACACUGGAACUGAGACACGGUCCAGACUCCUACGGGAGGCAGCAGUGGGGAAUUUUGGACAAUGGGCGAAA
rnacentral:rRNA from 1 species